UCUAUUUAUAUAGUUUAGAAAAAACAUUACAUUUUCAUUGUAAAAUCAAAUUACCAUUUUUGUA
rnacentral:tRNA from 1 species